rnacentral:rRNA from 1 species
AUUGACCGCUGGCGGCAGGCCUAACACAUGCAAGUCGAGCGAGCGGCGGACGGGUGAGUAAUGUAUGGGGACUGCCCGAUAGAGGGGGAUAACUACUGGAAACGGUGGAUAAUACCGCAUACUGUCGGAUUACCCAUAUGUGAUGAGCUAGUAGGUAAGGUAAUGGCUUACCUAGGCGACGAUCACUAGCUGGUCUGCGAGGAUGAUCAGCCACACUGGGACUGAGACACGGCCCAGACUCCUACGGAGGCAGCAGUGGGGAAUAUUGCACAAGGGGCGCAAGCCUGAUGCAGCCAUGCCGCGUGUAUGAAGAAGGCCCUAGGGUUGUAAAGUACUUUCAGUAGGGAGGCGUUACCGACAGAAGAAGCACCGGCUAACUCCGUGCCAGCAGCCGCGGUAAUAC